CUUGCUGUCACGGGUAAGGUGGGUGGCUGGGAUGUGGGAGACCCAGGGACUGACUGAUCCCUCUGCCCGAGGGUGUCAGAAACUGCACCUCCCACCCAUGAGGACAUUGCCCAAGCCACCAGGUCUGAAUUAGUAUGCUCCCAAGGCAGCUGAAGAAAGACACUGCAACAAGCACCCUCAUCCCUCAUGUUGGAACUUCUGCUUUCUCUAAGGUGACUGUCCAGGAACAAAGGCUUCAAAUCUCUCUGCAAUGAUCAUGAAGGCUUUGACGGCUUUAGUGAAGGGGAUUUUUCUUUUUGUCUUUAUCCAACGGAUUCUGUGCUGGGAGCAGAAUUUCCCCGUCCUUCUAUUUUGAAUAAA
rnacentral:lncRNA from 1 species